GCCCCGCCCACAAGCCUGCCCCGCCCUCUGCUCUGCAGGACCUGCACCCUCCUGAUGUCAUUAUUGGAGCUGACACCAUUGUGGCCGUGGAUGGCGUCAUCCUGGAGAAGCCAAAGGACAAGGAUGAUGCCUACAGGAUGCUGCGCAGGCUGAGUGGCCAGCAGCACAGUGUCAUCACCAGUGUGGCCAUCUUGAGGCCACUGUGGCGGAGGCAGCUUCAGGAGCCAAGUUCCACAUGCCCAGAGGCCCCAGAGGCGGAAGGGGACCCAGAAGCAGAAGUGGAAUUGUCACUGUUCCACGAAGAGACCCGUGUGACAUUCUCGCGGCUAUCGGAGCCACUGCUCUGUGAAUACGUGGAGA